AGUGAACGCUGGCGGUAGGCCUAACACAUGCAAGUCGAACGGCAGCACAGAGGAGCUUGCUCCUUGGGUGGCGAGUGGCGGACGGGUGAGGAAUACAUCGGAAUCUACUCUGUCGUGGGGGAUAACGUAGGGAAACUUACGCUAAUACCGCAUACGACCUACGGGUGAAAGCAGGGGACCUUCGGGCCUUGCGCGAUUGAAUGAGCCGAUGUCGGAUGUAGCUAGUUGGCGGGGUAAAGGCCCACCAAGGCGACGAUCCGUAGCUGGUCUGAGAGGAUAAUCGGCCACACUGGAACUGAGACACGGUCCAGACUCCUACGGGAGGCAGCAGUGGGGAAUAUUGGACAAUGGGCGCAAGCCUGAUCCAGCCAUACCGCGUGGGUGAAGAAGGCCUUCGGGUUGUAAAGCCCUUUUGUUGGGAAAGAAAUCCAGCUGGCUAAUACCCGGUUGGGAUGACGGUACCCAAAGAAUAAGCACCGGCUAACUUCGUGCCAGCCGCCGCAGUAA
rnacentral:rRNA from 1 species